UCUUUGGUAGUAUAGUGGUCAGUAUGCGAGCUUGUCAUUCCAAACGAUUCGCUCUGGCCAGGUCUAUGGGAACCCCGGCCGAGGUGAAUCGAGCGGGUGAAUCGCCCGGGGUUCAAUUCCCUGCCGGAGAG